rnacentral:SRP_RNA from 8 species
GCCGGGCGCAGUGGCGUGCGCCUGUAAUCCAAGCUACUGGGAGGCUGAGGCUGGCGGACCGCUUGAGCUCAGGGGUUCUGGGCUGCAGUGGACUAUGCCGAUCGGGUGUCCGCACUAAGUUCGGUAUCGAUAUGGUGCUCCUGGGGGAGCCUUGGACUACCAGGUCGUCUAAGGAGGGGUGAACCGGCCCAGGUCGGAGACGGAGCAGGUCAAAGCCCCCGUGCCGAUCAGUAGUGGGAUCGCGCCUGUGAAUAGACACUGCAGUGCAGCCUGAGUAAUACAGCGGGACUCAGUCUU